rnacentral:lncRNA from 12 species
AUGAAAGAUCCUUCAGGUGGAAGACGAGAGGGAAAAGGCUGGGACGUGAGGCUGCGUGUGUGUGUGUGUGUGUGUGUGUGUGUGUGUGUGUGUACUGCUCGUGCGCAGGUGAGAAAAAAGGUAAAAAGGUCCGAGGGUCUAAACCCGGAACACCCCGCUCGGCCCGGGCCCGACCCGGAGGACCACCUCCGUCCCCGGGACACAGGCCCGAAAGUCUCCGGGCCGCCGAACGGCCCAGUCGGCCGGGAGGCGAGACGGAGCCAACCGACCUCGCGGCCGGGCCACACCUGGAGGCGGCUCCCGGCGAGCCCUCGACCUGCCCCGGGAGAGGCCGCGACCUGCCCCCCCGAGGCGCCGCCAGCCAGUCGGGGACGCCUCCCCGCCGCCCACGUGGGGCCCGGAGCCCGCGCUGCCCGCAGGCGCCGCCGGCGUCGGGCGCGGCGGCCGCGCUGCCAUGGCAACGGCGGCGCGCCUGCGCGCUGCGCCGGGCGGGUUGGGGCGGGGCGGGCUUUGUUAGGAGACGGGGCCGGGGGCGUCGGCUUCCGCGGCGCUCGCGCGGGCGGGCCCUCCCAGUGCUCCGGCGUCGCCGGCCGGGAGCCCGCGUGCGGCCCGGGGUUUCGGGGUCUGGGGGCCUCGGUCCUUCCGGCCACGCCCUUGGUUUCCAGACCCACGUAUUCACUCACUGAAGACACAAUGGCAAAUAAUGACCAUCAGUUUAAGAAUCAAACUUUGAAGAAACUGCUGGAGAGAUGAAGAUGGUUUGGAUUCCCAUUUGCAUGUCGAUGCACAGUGCGUGGCUCAGCAUCAGAGAGAUGGGUGCUAUGGAGAGUUUGGCUUCCCUCACUGCCCGGAGCAGAUCAUUACCUCCUGUGAUUAUGUUAUAUGAGAUGGUGAUUCCCAUCUUGCUAGCAGAAUGUCUCCCUAUCAUGUCUUUGGCUUGCACGCUCUCAUGGCACAGAACUGAGGGCAUUUGGGCAACAGCCAGAAGGGAGUGGAGGGGCUUAGUUGAACAACCCUCAAGAAACUGAAUUUUGCCAGCAUGCAUGUGGAAGAGGACUAUUUCCUGCUUGAGCCUUCACGUGAGAGCCCAGCCCUGGCCAAUACCUUGAGUGCAGCCUGUACAAGAACCUGAAGAGAGGACCCAGCUAAGCCACGUAUAGAUCCCUGACCCAUGGAAACCAUGAG